rnacentral:rRNA from 1 species
UACGAAGGGGGCUAGCGUUGUUCGGAUUUACUGGGCGUAAAGCGCACGUAGGCGGAUCGUUAAGUGAGGGGUGAAAUCCCAGGGCUCAACCCUGGAACUGCCUUUCAUACUGGCGAUCUCGAGUCCGGAAGAGGUGAGUGGAACUCCUAGUGUAGAGGUGGAAUUCGUAGAUAUUAGGAAGAACACCAGUGGCGAAGGCGGCUCACUGGUCCGGUACUGACGCUGAGGUGCGAAAAGCGUGGGGGAGGCAAACAGG